UACAGAGGGGGCAAGCGUUGUUCGGAAUUACUGGGCGUAAAGGGCGCGUAGGCGGCCUUCUAAGUCGAACGUGAAAUCCCCGGGCUCAACCCGGGAACUGCGUCCGAUACUGGAAGGCUUGAAUCCGGGAGAGGGAUGCGGAAUUCCAGGUGUAGCGGUGAAAUGCGUAGAUAUCGUAAGGAAGACCAGUGGCGAAGGCGGGUCUCUGGACAGUUCCUGACGCUGAGGCACGAAGGUCAGGGGAGCAAACGGG
rnacentral:rRNA from 1 species